rnacentral:tRNA from 1 species
GAGAGAGGCCUGCCUGCAACUGAGGUUGCUAACCUUCGUACCCCAGGUUGAAAUCCUGGGCUCUUCUCG